ACGAUCUCUGGAAAAUGACAUGGAAAAUAGAAAAUAACUUGCAUAACUCGACGGUCAAUUGAUGAUCGACUUGAGCCUUCGCUACAAUGACUUUAGCUUUAAUGUGCAGUUUAUUGUGCAAUGAAGGUGGCGAGGGAUUUUUCCGAUACAAAUCCCCGACGUAAGAUAGCGUGCGCUUGAGAACGACUGAGAAAUAUCAAUCGAGGUCCAGCCAGUAGCAUGACGAGCAACACCGCAAACUGGAAAUUACCACAAUGAUUAGAAUCGUUGGAAUCUUGUUUGUCCUUUAUGUCUUGUAUCAUGCGUUUCUUUCAUGCACGUGAAACCAGUUUAUAAAUCGCGCGGUUACUUCUUCCACAAAAAGGGGAAACCAUUUUAUACCGGCUAUCAAGGCCUCACGACAGUGAGAAUGCACAGUGAGAAACAAGAAGACUCACCGACUUGCUCGUUUAACUAAAUGGAAAUCGAUGUUUACCUGGCACACAGGAUGUUCCACGUACCAUUCUGAUCACGAAUAUUACGAUUAUACCUCGCGGGCACCUUUCACAUACGCGCGCGCAAAACGAAGUGAAGAAAAGUGAAAUUGACAUUGUCGGUUGAUUGGACUCUUGGCGCCUCGGGUUUACCGAGUAAUUAUCGCGUUCUUGCGGCUUUAGGCGUCGCGCGUUUUAAUUCAGUCGUUUAUCAAACUUAUUUUCAUAUACACUUCAGAUCGCUGAAAAACCGAUUCUGAACUAAUUUGAAAUCUAAUUUGAAAGAAAAAAAUGGUUAUCUCAAACGAUUGAACAUAUCGACUUGUUUUAACGGAGCGUCGGCGAUUAUUGAUUGAUCUCUUCGAGACUGAAAAAAAUCAAGGCUGUCCUACUAGCACGAUUUUGAAGUAAAUGAACGAACACUUUCGCGAACGCAGAAGGGUAUAUAUAUCUCCUUUUUUUCAUGUAUGAUGACGACGACAAUGAUAAUGAUGAUGAUAGCGGAAAUCAGCAGUUUCUAUUUCGUGCAAACUCACUCACUUUGAUGUGAAAGGCACGAAGAAGCUUAUACCGGCCGUGUCCAUUUCUCUCAACGAGGACGACGAACAAUAGUUAUCUGCGCUUGUGGAUGUAUCCGAGGCGCGAUUAUAUGCACAGUUUCUGUCAAAUGCAGCGUCGUUUCGCAUGAAAGGAUCGAUUUUGUUCACGAGCUGUCCAACGAUCGCACUGCCCUGGGAAGAGAGCUUCCACUUUCGAUUAACUGGAAUGAAACGGGAUACUUGUCAAUUCUUAUUAAAAAAAAAAAGAA